UUUAGAUACCCUGGUAGUCCAUGCCGUAAACGAUGAGUGCUAAGUGUCCUUUAGGGUUCCGCCUCUCAGUGCUGCAGCUAACGCAUUAAGCACUCCGCCUGGGGAGUACGACCGCAAGUUUGAAACUCAAAGGAAUUGACGGGGGCCCGCGCAAGCGGGGGAGCAUGUGGUUUAAUUCGAAGCAACGCAAAGAACCUUACCAGGGCUUGACAUCUAGUGCCAUCCUAAGAGAUUAGGAGGUCCCUUCGGGGACACUAAGACAGGUGGUGCAUGGGUGUCGUCAGCUCGUGUCGUGAGAUGUUGUGUUAAGCCCCGCAACGAGCGCAACCCUUGUUAUUAGUUGCCAGCAUUAAGUUGGGCACUCUAAUGAGACUGCCGGUGACAAACCGGAGGAAGGUGGGGAGGACCUCAAGUCAUCAUGCCCCUUAUGACCUGGGCUACACACGUGCU
rnacentral:rRNA from 1 species